rnacentral:rRNA from 1 species
AGAGUUUGAUCCUGGCUCAGGACGAACGCUGGCGGCGUGCUUAACACAUGCAAGUCGAACGGUGAACCGGGCUUCGGCCCGGGGAUCAGUGGCGAACGGGUGCGUAACACGUGGGCAACCUGCCCCAGACACUGGGAUAACUCCGGGAAACCGGGGCUAAUACCGGAUACUCUCAGCCGACCGCAUGACCGGCUGAGGAAAGCUCCGGCGGUCUGGGAUGGGCCCGCGGCCUAUCAGCUUGUUGGUGGGGUAACGGCCUACCAAGGCGACGACGGGUAGCUGGUCUGAGAGGACGGCCAGCCACACUGGGACUGAGACACGGCCCAGACUCCUACGGGAGGCAGCAGUGGGGAAUCUUGCACAAUGGGCGCAAGCCUGAUGCAGCGACGCCGCGUGGGGGAUGAAUGCCUUCGGGUUGUAAACCCCUUUCGGCAGGGACGAAGCGAAAGUGACGGUACCUGCAGAAGAAGUCCCGGCUAACUACGUGCCAGCAGCGGCGGUAAUUC